CCUACGGGCGGCAGCAGUGAGGAAUAUUGGUCAAUGGACGAGAGUCUGAACCAGCCAAGUAGCGUGAAGGAUGACUGCCCUAUGGGUUGUAAACUUCUUUUAUAUGGGAAUAAAAUGUUCCACGUGUGGGAUUUUGUAUGUACCAUAUGAAUAAGGAUCGGCUAACUCCGUGCCAGCAGCCGCGGUAAUACGGAGGCUCCGAGCGUUAUCCGGAUUUAUUGGGUUUAAAGGGAGCGUAGGUGGAUUGUUAAGUCAGUUGUGAAAGUUUGCGGCUCAACCGUAAAAUUGCAGUUGAAACUGGCAGUCUUGAGUACAGUAGAGGUGGGCGGAAUUCGUGGUGUAGCGGUGAAAUGCUUAGAUAUCACGAAGAACUCCGAUUGCGAAGGCAGUUCACUGGACUGCAACUGACACUGAGGCUCGAAAGUGUGGGUAUCAAACAGGAUUAGAUACCCCUGUAGUC
rnacentral:rRNA from 1 species